rnacentral:rRNA from 1 species
CUGGUUUGAUCCUGCCAGUAGUCAUAUGCUUGUCUCAAAGAUUAAGCCAUGCAUGUAUCAGUUCACACCUUCAUAUGGUGAAACCGCGAAUGGCUCAUUAAAUCAGCUAUGGUUCCUUAGAUCUUACUAUCCUUACUUGGAUAACUGUAGUAAUUCUAGAGCUAAUACAUGCCUAAAAGCCCUGACUUUACAGGAAGGGUGGAUUUAUUAGAACAAAACCAACCGGCUUCGGUCGUUGGCUUGAUGACUCUGGAUAACUUUUCUGAUCGCACGGCCUCGCGCCAGCGACGUAUCUUUCAAAUGUCUGCCCUAUCAACUAUCGAUGGUAGGUGAUAUGCCUACCAUGGUUAUGACGGGUAACGGGGAAUCAGGGUUCGAUUCCGGAGAGGGAGCCUUAGAAAUGGCUACCACAUCUAAGGAAGGCAGCAGGCGCGCAAAUUACCCACUCUCAGCUAGAGGAGGUAGUGACGAAAAAUAACGAUGCGGGACUCAUUUGAGGCUCCGCAAUUGGAAUGAGAACAAUUUAAAUCCUUUAACGAGGAACAAUUGGAGGGCAAGUCUGGUGCCAGCAGCCGCGGUAACUCCAGCUCCAAUAGCGUAUAUUAAAGUUGCUGCAGUUAAAAAGCUCGUAGUUGGAUCUCAGGUAUGGAGUUAGUGGUUGGAUUUAUUCCGAACCACUAAUUUCCGCCUAAUCAGCCGCUUGUUAUCUCAUGUGCUCUUAACCGAGUGCAUGGGGUACUCGGCACGUUUACUUUGAAAAAAUAAGAGUGCUCAAAGCAGGCCUUGUGCUUGAAUUGUGUUGCAUGGAAUAAUGAAAUAGGACUUCGGUUCUAUUUUGUUGGUUUUCGGAAUCGAAGUAAUGAUUAAAAGAGACGGACGGGGGCAUCUGUAUGGUGGUGUUAGAGGUGAAAUUCGAUGAUCGCCGCCAGACAAACAACUGCGAAAGCAUUUGCCAAGGAUGUUUUCAUUAAUCAAGAACGAAAGUCAGAGGUUCGAAGACGAUCAGAUACCGUCCUAGUUCUGACCAUAAACGAUGCCAACUGACAAUCAAGGUUGAUUAUUUAUUUUCACCUUGGCAGUCCCUGGGAAACCUUUAAGUGUUUCGGUUCUGGGGGGAGUAUGGUUGCAAAUCCGAAACUUAAAGGAAUUGACGGAAGGGCACCACCAGGUGUGGAGCCUGCGGCUUAAUUUGACUCAACACGGGAAAACUCACCCGGCCCGGACACUGUGAGGAUUGACAGGUUGAUAGCUCUUUCAUGAUUCAGUGGGUGGUGGUGCAUGGCCGUUCUUAGUUGGUGGAGUGAUUUGUCUGGUUAAUUCCGAUAACGAACGAGACUCUAUCCUGCUAAAUAGUCACCACGCAAUAAUUACGUGGAUUGACUUCUUAGAGGGAUUCGCUACACUGACGAUAUCAAUGAGUGUUUUCCUAAAUAGAGAUAUUUGGGAAAUCUUCUGAAUUAUCGUCAUGUCAGGGAUUGGGGCUUGUAACUAUUCCCCAUGAACGAGGAAUACCCAGUAAGCGCAAGUCAUAAGCUUGCGUUGAUUACGUCCCUGCCCUUUGUACACACCGCCCGUCGCUACUACCGAUUGAAUGUUUUAGUGAGGCUUUUGGAUUGGAGUUGAUGAGAAGGUUUACCUACUUGCCGAUUCCGAGAAAAUUGUCAAACUUGAUCAUUUAGAGGAAGUAAAAGUCGUAACAAGGUUGUCCGUAGGUGAACCUGCAGAUGGAUCAAGGUGAACCUGCAGAUGGAUCAAGGUGAACCUGCAGAUGGAUCAAGGUGAACCUGCAGAUGAUCAAGGAGCUCAA